rnacentral:ncRNA from 1 species
GACCGUUCCGAGGGGUGCUCCGAGGAGGAGCUGAGAUACCGCUAAAUGGGCAAUACCGCCCAGGACCGCGGUGACCCUUUGAACCUGAUCCGGGUCAUGCCGGCGAAGGGACAGGGAUGUUGCAGACCA